rnacentral:rRNA from 1 species
CAGCCGCCGCGGGAAUACGUAGGGUGCGAGCGUUAAUCGGAAUUACUGGGCGUAAAGCGUGCGCAGGCGGUUCGUUAAGACAGAUGUGAAAUCCCCGGGCUUAACCUGGGAACUGCAUUUGUGACUGGCGAGCUAGAGUAUGGCAGAGGGGGGUAGAAUUCCACGUGUAGCAGUGAAAUGCGUAGAGAUGUGGAGGAAUACCGAUGGCGAAGGCAGCCCCCUGCCAAUACUGACGCUCAUGCACGAAAGCGUGGGGAGCAAACAGGAUUAGAUACCCUGUAGUCCCUGUCUCUUAUACACA